AAAAAAAAUAUAAAUUAUAAAAUAUUUUUUUAGUCAUUUCGAGUAAAAUUGUUGAAAAUUAUAAUAUUUAUUCUAUUCCACGAAUAUAAUCAGCAAGGUAUAGUGAUCAUAACCUUAAUUCUAAGGCACACAUGUUAACUAGUAGCCCAUUCUAGUUUCGAUUGAUCUGGUCAACACAAUAUUUUCUUAAAAGUAAACUGUGUGUAAUAUUUCAUUAAAAAAAAAGAUCGUAUACAGCUCCAGAAGAUCAAUCCUAUAUAGUGAAUUAAAAGAGGAGUUGAAAGGGCACCUAUUGUUUCCACCACCACUGUAUUGCUAAUUGCGCACUAAAUAAAAUAAAAUUGAACAAUUAAAAGCUUAUAGUGACGUCACGUACAACCGAAAGUGAACCAUAAAAUUAUAGGAAGACACAGAAGGAAAAAAGUGAAACAACCAAAAUUGGUAGGAAGGUUACCUAACUUUCGUUCCUACAA